UGUACUUGAUUCAAAUGCGAUGUGGGGACGGAGAAGGUUAGGUUGGCAAGCUGUUGGAAUAGCUUGUUUAAGCCGGUAGGUGGAAGACUUAGGCAAAUCCGGGUCUUCUUAACACCGAGAAGUGACGACGAGUGUCUACGGACACGAAGCAACCGAUACCACGCUUCCAGGAAAAGCCACUAAGCUUCAGUUUGAAUCGAACCG
rnacentral:rRNA from 1 species